rnacentral:rRNA from 1 species
GCGAUGCCGCGUGAGUGAAGAAGGCCUUUGGGUUGUAAAGCUCUUUCGUCGGGGAAGAAAAUGACUGUACCCGAAUAAGAAGGUCCGGCUAACUUCGUGCCAGCAGCCGCGGUAAUACGAAGGGACCUAGCGUAGUUCGGAAUUACUGGGCUUAAAGAGUUCGUAGGUGGUUGAAAAAGUUAGUGGUGAAAUCCCAGAGCUUAACUCUGGAACUGCCAUUAAAACUUUUCAGCUAGAGUAUGAUAGAGGAAAGCAGAAUUUCUAGUGUAGAGGUGAAAUUCGUAGAUAUUAGAAAGAAUACCGAUUGCGAAGGCAGCUUUCUGGAUCAUUACUGACACUGAGGAACGAAAGCAUGGGUAGCGAAGAGGAUUAGAUACCCUCGUAGUCCAUGCCGUAAACGAUGUGUGUUAGACGUUGGAAAUUUAUUUUCAGUGUCGCAGGGAAACCGAUAAACACACCGCCUGGGGAGUACGACCGCAAGGUUAAAACUCAAAUGAAUUGACGGGGACCCGCACAAGUAGUGGAGCAUGUGGUUUAAUUCGAAGAUACGCGCAGAACCUUACCAACACUUGACAUGUUCGUCGCGACUCUAAGAGAUUAGAGUUUUCGGUUCGGCCGGACGAAACACAGGUGCUGCAUGGCUGUCGUCAGCUCGUGUCGUGAGAUGUUGGGUUAAGUCCCGCAACGAG